rnacentral:rRNA from 1 species
UACGAAGGGGGCUAGCGUUGCUCGGAAUCACUGGGCGUAAAGCGCACGUAGGCGGCUUCUUAAGUCAGGGGGUGAAAUCCUGGAGCUCAACUCCAGAACUGCCUUUGAUACUGAGGAGCUUGAGUCCGGGAGAGGUGAGUGGAACUGCGAGUGUAGAGGUGAAAUUCGUAGAUAUUCGCAAGAACACCAGUGGCGAAGGCGGCUCACUGGCCCGGUACUGACGCUGAGGUGCGAAAGCGUGGGGAGCAAACAGG